AUUGUUCCAGUGGAUGGUCAUAUGGAAUUAUUCAUCCCUAACGUAUCUGGUUAAAUAUAUUCGUAUUUUAUUUGCAGUGUAUGCAUAUUGCAAUAUCUGAAGCUUACAAUCCGCGACUGGCAAAAAAGGAGAAAAUCGCAGACACCUUCGUGUAGAUUAGGCCUAUAUGCAUGUGUACAUGUUUCAAAGAUGUCUCACAAAGUUAUUGUCUGUGUAUGUCUGCUGGUAACUCUCGUUUCGAUCACGAGUUCUCGUGUGGUGGAUAUCAAUGGUGAUGAAGAGGCUAUCGAUCAAACUGCAUUGGACUUGGUGAACGAUGGUUCUCCAGCUCACAUUCCAAGAGUUGUGAGACGCAGUGCUGGAGACAAGAAAAAACGUGGUUGCUGCUUCGCGUGUUAUCCUUGGUGCACUUGCUGCUACGCCUAAGAACCUUUGACAGCUAGAUAUCAUCGUAGAAUUUAAUCACUUUUUAGUGAUAUUUUGUUUUAUCAUCUAUUCUGACUAGUAAAAUCAUUAAGUGUAAAGGGAGGGUCAUUAAUGUUUAUUACUACUAAUAAUAAUACUACUACCUCUACUACUACUACUACAACUACUACUACUACUACUGAUAAUAAUAAUGAUAAAUAAUAAUGAAGAUAAUAGUAAUGAUAAUAAUGUUUAUAAUAAUAAUGAUAAUUAAGAUUGAUCAAAUACAUGAUAUAACAUCUCUCUAUGCGCUUUGCCAUCAAUGUGAACAAUAAUAUCGUCGGCGGUCAGCUAAACUGUCGUAUCACACAUACGACCCUAUCUCACUCACACAAAACCCAUUUCGGAGAAAAUAGACUGUACUGUAAGCGUACUGUAAUUUUCAUAAUUAGUUCUCCAGCCUUACAACAUAGAUGACAUAUUCAUUGCUAGAAAAGUACACGGUUAGAGAGACCAAAUUAAAGUUUCGCUUAAUUUUACAUCAUCGAAUUUCUAAUUUGCGUGUGACUACAUGUAAAUUGUGCAUACAA
rnacentral:misc_RNA from 1 species